CCCUGUGCCAAAGCAGGAAAUGCCACCCAAAGCAUCCCUGACAGGUGGACAUCCAACUUCUGUUUAACACCUCCAGUGUUGGAGAAUCCACCACCUAUGAGUCACGUUUCAGAUUCAACGAAAAGUGAAUAUAUGAAAUAAUGCAUCCAUAAUGGGUCUGGUUUUCUUGAUAUUUGGACAUUUUCUUGAUAGGCUCUUCCAUGAUUUUCAGCUAGCUGAAAUGAGCUGUUCUCAAAUGAGUCUCCUCAGCCUAGAACAGUGAGUGGGCAUGAACUUCACACUCAACUUCUUCAAUGUUAAAGAAGGAAGGAAGGAAGGAAGGAAGGAAGGAAGGAAGGAAGGAAGCAUUUGAAACCAGACUACAGAAGCUUACAAAGAUACUGUUAAGCUGAAGAAAAAUAAUAUACUGAAGCUAUUCAUAAUUGAACUGUUGCAGCAUGAUGCUAUGGAAUUCUGAGAAUCAUCUUCACACUAUUCAUUGCUGGAGGCCUUCAGUAAGUUAUUCCCAGAUUCUAUAGUCAUUACAAAUACUUAGUC
rnacentral:lncRNA from 1 species